rnacentral:rRNA from 1 species
CCCUAUGGGGCGCAGCAGGCGGCAGGUUUCAACCAGGAUGUCUUCAUUCUCGUGCAGUCUCGCCAGAAGCCGUUCCGGAGCGUGUAUCUUCGUCACCGUAUGCGCGUCCGCCAGCACCUUUCCAUGUUGCCGCAUCUGGUCACGACUGAGCAGUUCCGCCCGGAGCGGCGGCUCGUCGCAUGUGUAUUUUUUUGUAUAUUUUUUUAUGAGGUGUGACCUCAGGGAAAGCAGGGACUUGUGAAUCGUAACUUUGUCAGCAUUCACGCUUGAGGUCUCCUUCCGACCUAACCCCUGUUCAUGGUGGGACACAGCACUGAAACCCUUAUCUUAUCUUACCUGGAAGGAUAGGUCCAGUUUAAUCGCUUCCCUUUUGUGUAUGCUGAGGAAGAAUGUUUCGUGCGUCUGGAGAGC